GACGAACCGGACAAACGUUAUUCGGAAUCAUUGGGCUUAAAGGGUGCGUAGGCUGUGCAGAAAGUUGGAUGUGAAAUCUCUCGGCUCAACCGAGAAACUGCGUCCAAAACUACUGUGCUUGAGGAAGAUAGAGGUGAGCGGAACUAAUGGUGGAGCGGUGAAAUGCGUUGAUAUCAUUAGGAACACCUGUGGCGAAAGCGGCUCACUGGGUCUUUUCUGACGCUGAGGCACGAAAGCUAGGGUAGCGAACGGGAUUAGAAACCCCAGUAGUCC
rnacentral:rRNA from 1 species